CCCAAAAGCCUCAGCAUUUCCACGUUCCAGCCACUGGUGAACUAAGUGCACAUCCAGACCAGAAUGUAUCAUCCAAAGCAGAAGCUGUGCUGCCCGCUACCCAAGUAUUGCUGCCCCCCACCCCAGCCAUGCUGCCCCCCACCAAACUAUUGCUGCCCCUCAACAAAGUAUUGCUGCCCCCCACCUCAGCAGUACUGUCCCCCUCCGCAGCAAUGCUGGCCCCGAGCACAGUACUGUUUCCCCCCACCAAAGCACUGC